rnacentral:lncRNA from 1 species
GGAAACAAUUUCAUGUGUUCAACCCUAGAUCAUCCAAGUAAACCUACUGUUUCGCUUGCACUUGGGCAAGCAGUAGAAAAACUUAUACUCAAUGAGGACUUAUGUAUCACGCGAUGAAGAGGUACAUAGUGAGCAUCUCAGAUGCUAUGAUCAUGACCCAUGACUCAUCGUCUAGAAUUAAAGCACGCAAUACAAAAAGUUAUGGUGAGCGCAUCACGCACAAUGAUCUGACUUAGCGACGUAUUGCAGUUGUACUAUACACAUGUAAAACUAGUAAGUCUAAAUUCACGAAUCAGACAUCACACUACAUCUCAGGCCAAGCAAGCAAGUGCUCGGGGCGAACUGUGACAACCUGGACCUGGGAUUCACUUCACCAACGUCUCGCAAUGGACCUAAGAUUCAAUUUCAUCUGCGUCUCCCAAUUUUCAUGGGAUUUCCACCAGCGCCUCGUAAUACUCAUUUCUCAGACCUAAGAUUUGCUUUCACUAGCAUCUCAUCGCCUGGACCUGGGAUUCACGCCACCAAUGUCUAGCAUAUCAUUCCUCAUUUAGAUAUGAGAUUCACAUUCAUCAACAUCUUGUGAUAGACCUAGGAUUUCCACCAGCUUUGUGCGAAAGAUCAUACCACAUCACAUCACACAAUCGUCACAAUCUACAACAAGGAAAUAUUAGCUGAGAAGCUUUUCAUACAUUAGAAUGUAGCACAUUAGUAAUAUUUCUAACUAUUAAACAUCAAAUAUAAGAUCAUCAAGAUUUGAGAUCAUUCAUAAAACAUUACUUUCUUUGAUAACAGUCAUUCAAUUAUUUAUAAAAUCAUUCACAAAAUAUUUGUUUUACUCAUGAAAAAUCACUCACAAAAAUACUUAGUCUCAACUCUUUCUUUCGUUGCUUUCAGUUUUCUCUCCUCGUCUAGUGAUUCCCUCAACCGACCUCUUCAACACUCCAAACCUACUCUUAACAAUUUAUCAGAAUGUUAGCAUCUCAUGCUCUUUUUCUUUCAGCCUUUAGUCCUAUUUACAAUGACUUUUCACAUUCAUGGGUCAUUUUAACGCUUUACGUGUGUCACUCUUCCAUUUUGACAUGCUAUGUAGGCAAGCCAAAGGUCAGUUACGAAUAAAGACUUUUCUUAAGAUGCCAACCUUAUCCCCUUGGAAAGCUAAACUUCUCAUCUAACUCUCUUUUCUCAGGAAGCCACAGAAAAUUUACUCCACCUCAGAGGGUUGUCAAUCACCUUAUACAGACGUUCACCUUUCAACAAAAUGCCUACCUCUUCGCGACCAUACUUAGGUGCAAGCACUUCUCCUCGUGUCACUACACCCAACGCCUAGUUCUUAGCAUCCAUUGCGUGCUUCUUCCCUUCCAGCUAAUUCUUAUCGUGUAGCUUACUUUAACACAAUAACACUUAUGCCUAAAUACUUCUCUUUGCAUCACCUUUUCUCUUAUUGCAUCCUUCUUUGCAGAAUGCCUCCUAUCAACACUUAGUCAAACACAACUCACCUCAACAAAGUUUCUCUUCAACAUGACUCCCUUUUGAAUAUGGGUCUCACAUAAUAAAAUGCAUUUCACUAUUAACACACACUGAUAAUUUGACACAUCUAUCAGAAUGAUUUGUUGAUUAGACUAAUUAUUGUUUCAGUAAAUGUUUUUAUUUUAAAAUUUUGUGAAAUUUUAUGUUUUAACCAAGAUUUAAAAUAUCGAUGAUGGAUAGAUAGAAGUCUUGAUUCGAUAAAAAAUUUGAUUUUGAUUGAUAUUUCUAGAAAAAUUAUUAAAACAAAAAUUCAAAAGAAAAUUAAAUUAGUAAAUAAAUGUUUUAUUUCUUUCAAAUAAGUAAACAUGUCUAAUAUUUAUAUUAUAUUAGAGUUUUUUUAAAAUAGAAAAAUUUGACAAACUAUUUGUACUACAAAACAAAACCACUAAAAGACAAAAAAAUUUACAUUUGAUUUUAUAUCAAUGGUAAAUAUUUUGUCAAAUGUUCUGUUUUUUAUAAUUUUCCUAUUAUUGGAUAUUUGUUAAACUUCUCAACAAAAAUUAUAUAUAGGGCAAUAUAUAACAAAAAAAAUAUAGAUGUAAUGACAAAAUUUAGUAAUAAUAAAACAUUAUUUAAUAUAUAUUGUAAUCUAUCCCUUCAAAACUAAUAUUAAAAUACAAAAAUUGAAAUGUGAGGGAAACUGUCCUAAUCCCUUAAUAAAUCCGUGCCUCCCAGUAUUUUCGAAACAAACUUUUAACAAUUCUCAUCCAAAACUAACACUAAAUAUAAUCGAAACAAAAUUUUAACAAUUCUCAUCCAAAACUAACACUAAAUAUAUUUUUAAAUUGGACACCAGUUAUGUAACUAAUGUAAAUUUUUUAUAUGUUAACCAAAACUAGAGGUAAGAAAAAGUAGGUACAAGAAAUCAAAAGAAAUAGGGAAAUCGAGGGAAGUCGUAGCUUACUUUGUUGCGUUGAAGGAGAUAGUU